CCAUCAUCACCAUCACCCUGACUAGUCUUUCAGGCGAUAGGUGCUGGAAGACAUUCAGAUCUUCCAGUGGCGGUAGACGCGUAAGAAAAGCCCCCGGAAGAUUGAUUCCGGGGGCUUUUUUUU
rfam:Dickeya dadantii 3937, complete genome.